AUAGAAGCUCUGCGAGCCCAGAUCCAGGAGAAAAUGAGGCUGUAUAAUAUUACUUUACCUCCACUAUGCUGCUGUGGUCCUGAUUUUUGGGAUGCUCAUCCUGAUACCUGUGCCAACAAUUGUAUUUUCUAUAAAAACCAUAGAGCAUAUACCCGGGCACUACAUUCGGUCAUCAAUUCCUGUGAUAUCCCGGAGGGGACCUCAACUGUUCGAGUUGCCAUGCAUAAUUUGGCUUCUGCACACAGACGGACUUUGAAAAAUCUAUAAUGAGAAUCCGAAUCCAAUUGUUAGUAUUUCAGUCUUCACUUAAAAUCAACCCUGAGAGAUUAUUUAGGAAAACUGUUAAAAUGUAUAAGACGUGUAACCUGGAAAGAAGGACUGUCCCAACGUGACAACCAUCUCUAUAAUUAGAUCAUAACCAUUGUUUCAGUCUCUGCUUGGACUGAAAUUGAAAGUCGACCUCUAAACUUGUGUUUUUGCUGUGAACUAUAUAGAGUCUAUUGUUUUAAAAAUGAUCAGUCAGACCAGUAAGGUUUUUUUUACUUAGCUCUGCUCUGAUCAGAGGAGAUCAUGAGAAAUCUUUGAGAUUAUCUCAUUUAUUAUCUUUCUAAAACUGUAUCUUUGAAUCUUGACAAGAUUGAAAAUGUCUAGAUAAAGCCAAAAAGAUGAUGAAAUGAGUUUCUAAGUAUCAGUGGCCAUCUGUAUUGCUGAUAGCUUUUCUAGUUGUGUAUAACAGUUAGAGGUGAGAAGAAUCUGAAUUUGAUGCACAUUUUUUUUCUCAAGAUUUUUCUUUCCUGGUUUUUUAACUUAUUACCUCUUUCCCCAUUCAGUGACAUUGGACUUAGGACUUUUUAAUUUUAUAAUUUUGUAUUGCAAAAAUAAAGUGAAUAAACCUUCUGUCUUUUGAG